UUGGGAAUAUUGGACAAUGGGGGAAACCCUGAUCCAGCAAUCCCGCGUGAGUGAUGAAGGCCCUCGGGUCGUAAAGCUCUUUCAGCAGGGAAGAAGGGCAACCUGACGGUACCUGCAGAAGAAGCACCGGCUAACUCCGUGCCAGCAGCCGCGGUAAUACGGAGGGUGCAAGCGUUGUUCGGAAUCAUUGGGCGUAAAGCGCGUGUAGGCGGUGAACUCAGUCUGGUGUGAAAGCCCGGGGCUUAACCCCGGAAGUGCACUGGAUACUGGCUCACUAGAGGACGAGAGAGGGAAGUGGAAUUCCUGGUGUAGGGGUGAAAUCCGUAGAUAUCAGGAGGAACAUCAGUGGCGAAGGCGGCUUCCUGGCUCGUUUCUGACGCUGAGACGCGAAAGCGUGGGUAGCAAACAGGAUUAGAUACCCCCGUAGUCC
rnacentral:rRNA from 1 species